rnacentral:rRNA from 1 species
GACGAACGCUGGCGGCGUGCCUAAUACAUGCAAGUCGAGCGAAUCGGCGGAUGGGUGAGUAACGCGUGGGUAACCUGCACUUAAGUCUGGGAUACCAUUUGGAAACAGAUGCUAUUACCGGAUCCUAAAGGAUGGACCUGGGAUGAAUUAGCUAGUUGGUAAGGUAACGGCUUACCAAGGCGAUGAUGCAUAGCCGGUUUGAGAGACUGAUCGGCCACAUUGGGACUGAGACACGGCCCAGACUCCUACGGGAGGCAGCAGUAGGGAAUCUUCCACAAUGGACGAAAGUCUGAUGGAGCAACGCCGCGUGAGUGAAGAAGGUUUUCGGAUCGUAAAACUCUUUUGUUAGAGAAGCGGUAUCUAACCAGAAAGCCACGGCUAACUACGUGCCAGCCGCCGCGGUAAUAC